rnacentral:rRNA from 1 species
CGAAGGGGCUAGCGUUGUUCGGAAUUACUGGGCGUAAAGCGAGUGUAGGUGGUUGUCCAAGUUGGAUGUGAAAGCCUUGAGCUCAACUCAAGAAAUGCAUUCAGGACUGGAUGGCUAGAGGACCGGAGAGGAUAGUGGAAUUCCCAGUGUAGUGGUGAAAUACGUAGAGAUUGGGAAGAACACCAGUGGCGAAGGCGGCUGUCUGGACGGUUUCUGACACUAAGACUCGAAAGCGUGGGGAGCAAACAGGAUUAGAUACCCUGGUAGUCCACGCCGUAAACGAUGGGUGCUAGACGUUGGCGAGCUUGCUCGUCAGUGUCGCAGCUAACGCGUUAAGCACCCCGCCUGGGGAGUACGGCCGCAAGGUUG